UAUUUACUUGGAUAACCGUGGUAAUUCUAGAGCUAAUACAUGCUAAAAACCUCGACUUCGGAAGGGGUGUAUUUAUUAGAUAAAAAACCAAUGCCCUUCGGGGCUCCUUGGUGAUUCAUAAUAACUUUACGAAUCGCAUGGCCUUGCGCCGGCGAUGGUUCAUUCAAAUUUCUGCCCUAUCAACUUUCGAUGGUAGGAUAGUGGCCUACCAUGGUGGCAACGGGUAACGGGGAAUUAGGGUUCGAUUCCGGAGAGGGAGCCUGAGAAACGGCUACCACAUCCAAGGAAGGCAGCAGGCGCGCAAAUUACCCAAUCCCGACACGGGGAGGUAGUAAGUUAUACCAUCCAUCUCCCGCUGGAGAACUCCUACUAACCACUCUGCUCUAGGUGACAAUAAAUACUGAUGUGGAGCUCUUUUGGGUUUCACAAUUGGAAUGAGUACAGUCUAAAUCUCUUAACGAUUAGCAAUUGGAGGGCAAGUCUGGUGCCAGCAGCCGCGGUAAUUCCAGCUCCAAUAGCGUAUAUUAAAGUUGUUGCAGUUAAAAAGCUCGUAGUUGAACCUUGGGCCUGGCCGGCCGGUCCGCCUCACCGCGUGCACUGGUUCGGCCGGGCCUUUCCUUCUGGGGAACCGCAUGCCCUUCACUGGGUGUGUCGGGGAACCAGGACUUUUACUUUGAAAAAAUUAGAGUGUUCAAAGCAGGCCUAUGCUCGAAUACAUUAGCAUGGAAUAAUAGAAUAGGACGUUGCGGUUCUAUUUUGUUGGUUUCUAGGACCGCCGUAAUGAUUAAUAGGGAUAGUCGGGGGCAUCAGUAUUCAAUUGUCAGAGGUGAAAUUCUUGGAUUUAUUGAAGACUAACUACUGCGAAAGCAUUUGCCAAGGAUGUUUUCAUUAAUCAGUGAACGAAAGUUAGGGGAUCGAAGACGAUCAGAUACCGUCGUAGUCUUAACCAUAAACUAUGCCGACUAGGGAUCGGACGAUGUUACAUUAUGACUCGUUCGGCACCUUACGAGAAAUCAAAGUUUUUGGGUGAGUCCCUCAUCCAUCCGUUCCUACUGUAUAUCAGCUAACACUUCAAUAGGUUCUGGGGGGAGUAUGGUCGCAAGGCUGAAACUUAAAGAAAUUGACGGGUAAGUUUACCCCUCAUAUUUAUUCAUUUCACCAAUAUAAAGGCUAAUUUUUAUUAUAGAAAGGCACCACCAGGCGUGGAGCCUGCGGCUUAAUUUGACUCAACACGGGGAAACUCACCAGGUUAACUUGGAUUUACGUCUGGGCCUGGGAAUACCACAGUGCGAACUACGUGUUCGUGCGACACUUGCUGGUACAGGGGACGUCUAGUAGGUUAACACCUACUCGGCAAAUCCUGUGGCGAAUCCCCCGGGGGUNNNNNNAACGNNNNCCAGGCAGUGGACCCUCGCAGUUGCGAGGUGUUUGAUGUUCGUGCUAACCAUGCAGGACGACUGCAUUCCUUCGUCUAGAACAAAGGCGGAGGACACCAAUCUUUACGGAUUGGUGGAAGAAAUGCCAGACACAGUAAGGAUUGACAGAUUGAGAGCUCUUUCUUGAUUUUGUGGU
rnacentral:rRNA from 1 species